GGCGGGUUAGGGGAUGUGUGGAGGCUGUUCAUCUCCAGAGCGUACUGGUGGUACAGGUUUGCGUCUGCUUUACCCCCCUCUUGGUGGCCUCGACACCUCGGCCCGUUUCCCGCCCCGGCUGCGCUGAGCCGACCAGCGGCAGCGCUUGUGUGUGGAAAGCUGCUGGGAAACCUUGAUAACGGAGGAACAGAGUUAAUGGAGCUUUCUUGUCUUGUUCCAGAACCACAAACCCCUUAUUUAAAGAGACCUUGAAACAAAUUGAAAGGAAACCAGAAUGUGGAGGCCUGCCAAUGAUAUCGUUUCUCAUUCUCCCCAUGCAGAGGGUAACACGGCUUCCCCUGCUGUUGGAUACUGUCUGUCAAAAAACAAAAGCAUGCACUGCAGCGUACGGAGCUGCCACCAGAGCGCUGAAAGCCAUCAGCAAGCUGGUGAAGAGCUGCAACGAGGGAGCUCGUGCUAUGGAGAGGACAGAGCAGAUGUACACCCUGCAGAAACAGCUGGAAUUUGGAAAGAAGAAGCCUUUCCCGCUGAUUUCUGCUUCCCGGUGGCUGCUGAAGCGGGGGGAGCUCUACCUGCUGCUCUCGGAGGAGGGGGGCAUCUUCCGCCGAGGCGCCGGCAGGCUCUGCCACCUCUUCUUGUUCAACGACGUCCUCAUCAUAACCAAGAAGAAGAGGUAAGGAGGGGUGGGGGUGGUGGGGGGGGUGGUGUCCCUUCCUUUCUCUGGAAAUCAACUAGUGGGGUUAAAAUCUCAAUUUCCCAAGCAGCACAAGACUUAAGAGAUUCUUGAGAUUUCCCCGUUUUGACCUUUACUGAAGGGAAGGGCCAGCUCCCUGACCCUUGGCCUGGCCACUGUUGGUGGGUGGUCCCUGUCCCCCCACCCCGGGUAUCAGCUCACGUCCUGGCCGUGGCGGGGGCCUCGCCCG
rnacentral:lncRNA from 1 species